GACGAACGCUGGCGGCGUGCCUAAUACAUGCAAGUCGAACGAACUCUGGUAUUGAUUGGUGCUUGCAUCAUGAUUUACAUUUGAGUGAGUGGCGAACUGGUGAGUAACACGUGGGAAACCUGCCCAGAAGCGGGGGAUAACACCUGGAAACAGAUGCUAAUACCGCAUAACAACUUGGACCGCAUGGUCCGAGUUUGAAAGAUGGCUUCGGCUAUCACUUUUGGAUGGUCCCGCGGCGUAUUAGCUAGAUGGUGGGGUAACGGCUCACCAUGGCAAUGAUACGUAGCCGACCUGAGAGGGUAAUCGGCCACAUUGGGACUGAGACACGGCCCAAACUCCUACGGGAGGCAGCAGUAGGGAAUCUUCCACAAUGGACGAAAGUCUGAUGGAGCAACGCCGCGUGAGUGAAGAAGGGUUUCGGCUCGUAAAACUCUGUUGUUAAAGAAGAACAUAUCUGAGAGUAACUGUUCAGGUAUUGACGGUAUUUAACCAGAAAGCCACGGCUAACUACGUGCCAGCAGCCGCGGUAAUACGUAGGUGGCAAGCGUUGUCCGGAUUUAUUGGGCGUAAAGCGAGCGCAGGCGGUUUUUUAAGUCUGAUGUGAAAGCCUUCGGCUCAACCGAAGAAGUGCAUCGGAAACUGGGAAACUUGAGUGCAGAAGAAGACAGUGGAACUCCAUGUGUAGCGGUGAAAUGCGUAGAUAUAUGGAAGAACACCAGUGGCGAAGGCGGCUGUCUGGUCUGUAACUGACGCUGAGGCUCGAAAGUAUGGGUAGCAAAACAGGAUUAGAUACCCUGGUAGUCCAUACCGUAAACGAUGAAUGCUAAGUGUUGGAGGGUUUCCGCCCUUCAGUGCUGCAGCUAACGCAUUAAGCAUUCCGCCUGGGGAGUACGGCCGCAAGGCUGAAACUCAAAGGAAUUGACGGGGGCCCGCACAAGCGGUGGAGCAUGUGGUUUAAUUCGAAGCUACGCGAAGAACCUUACCAGGUCUUGACAUACUAUGCAAAUCUAAGAGAUUAGACGUUCCCUUCGGGGACAUGGAUACAGGUGGUGCAUGGUUGUCGUCAGCUCGUGUCGUGAGAUGUUGGGUUAAGUCCCGCAACGAGCGCAACCCUUAUUAUCAGUUGCCAGCAUUAAGUUGGGCACUCUGGUGAGACUGCCGGUGACAAACCGGAGGAAGGUGGGGAUGACGUCAAAUCAUCAUGCACCUUAUGACCUGGGCUACACACGUGCUACAAUGGAUGGUACAACGAGUUGCGAACUCGCGAGAGUAAGCUAAUCUCUUAAAGCCAUUCUCAGUUCGGAUUGUAGGCUGCAACUCGCCUACAUGAAGUCGGAAUCGCUAGUAAUCGCGGAUCAGCAUGCCGCGGUGAAUACGUUCCCGGGCCUUGUACACACCGCCCGUCACACCAUGAGAGUUUGUAACACCCAAAGUCGGUGGGGUAACCUUUUAGGAACCAGCCGCCUAAGGUGGGACAGAUGAUUAGGGUG
rnacentral:rRNA from 1 species